rnacentral:rRNA from 1 species
GAUGAACGCUGGCGGCGUGCCUAAUACAUGCAAGUCGAGCGAACAGAUGAGGAGCUUGCUCCUCUGACGUUAGCGGCGGACGGGUGAGUAACACGUGGAUAACCUACCUAUAAGACUGGGAUAACUUCGGGAAACCGGAGCUAAUACCGGAUAAUAUAUUGAACCGCAUGGUUCAAUAGUGAAAGACGGUUUUGCUGUCACUUAUAGAUGGAUCCGCGCCGCAUUAGCUAGUUGGUAAGGUAACGGCUUACCAAGGCAACGAUGCGUAGCCGACCUGAGAGGGUGAUCGGCCACACUGGAACUGAGACACGGUCCAGACUCCUACGGGAGGCAGCAGUAGGGAAUCUUCCGCAAUGGGCGAAAGCCUGACGGAGCAACGCCGCGUGAGUGAUGAAGGUCUUCGGAUCGUAAAACUCUGUUAUUAGGGAAGAACAAAUGUGUAAGUAACUAUGCACGUCUUGACGGCACCUAAUCAGAAAGCCACGGCUAACUACGUG